rnacentral:lncRNA from 1 species
CAGCCCCUGGACUAGAGUUCACCUAAGUGGUAUUUGCAGAAAAUAAGGGUGCUUUUCAAGAGAACAACUUGUCUGAGAAUGUAGGGAGCAACAUCCUCUUUCAUAUCGCAUCUAUGUAUGUAAGUAGAGGUUAUCACCCUGGAAACACAUGCCUGGCACUUGGACAUUUGUAUGCCUCAGGACACUCCUGGAUAGCUGACACAAGAGGAAACCAUUUCCAACUGCUGCUAUGGUUUCUCUCCCUUCUUCCUCUGAAGCACUACAGCACUUUCAAAGUAAAGAUUAUAGAAUAAGGUAAGAUUUUACCUAGUUUUAUCAUUGUACAGCCUAUUGCUAAAAAAGAUGUAUUACAUUUUUUU